GGAAUAUUUAUUUAACUGUGGAAAAUUGCAAGUCAACCAAGUCCCAAAUAAAAAUUAAAUCAAGUCCUCCCAUCACCCUCAUCAAUUCCAGAUCACAAGUUAGGGUUUUGUCAUCUUUUUAUUCACUUAUUAAACUGCUCAUUAUAAUAUGUGGCUUGCACUUAGCCAUGGUCAAAGGAAGGAUCUUUCUUAAAUACCGCAAGUGCAAUUCUCUCCCCUCCUUGUCGUCCCUUUUUGCCAGUUUAAUUAUGGAGAUAUAAGAAAAAUAUCCUGUAACCUUGCAUUACCCUUUCAAAAGCUCUCAAGAGUUCUUUGUUUUCAUGGUGCCAACCAGGGACAAGACGACUCUCUUGAUUUUAGGGUUUGGGUUUCGCUGGAGCUGAAGGUACCUUGAAAACAUCCGUGCAAUAUUUUAAAGCUUGGAAAUUAUGAAAUGGACGCCUUCUCACCGCUCUUUGUAUUAAAUUACUAUAUCCGGGGAACAUGUGCUUAAAAGGGCUGCAGUAAAUACAUUUAGGAGCUAAGAAAGAAGCUGGCAACUAUAGAAGAACAGCCCUAAGCCCAAAAAUCUUGCUUUACCAUGGCCUCAUUUUCAAAGUCAUCAAAGGUAAGUGAAUCUCCCAAGCAUACAUAGAAGCUAAUAUCCAUGCACACAUAAUGCCUGCUAAGGGUGUAGAAUUAGGCUAUGAGAUUUAUCAUACAAGACUCCAAGUUUCAUGUCAGAGUGCUUGCAGAAGGAUUUUUGAGGUACAGUUGAAUUCAGGCUUUGUAAGUAGUUUCUGAGGUUGUUUUUCUUCUUGUUUUUCCUGGGCUUUGUAUCCCGUCCAUAACAAUAAAACAGAAAGGUUGAAACUUGAAAACGGGCACACCUUCAACAAGGAAGCUUGAAGCGGCCAGUUCUGCA